CCUACGGGAGGCAGCAGUGAGGAAUAUUGGUCAAUGGUCGGGAGACUGAACCAGCCAAGCCGCGUGAGGGAGGAAGGUACUGAGAAUCGUAAACUUCUUUUGUCAGGGAGCAAAGACUGAGACGUGUCCCCGGGUGAGUGUACCGUAAGAAAAAGCAUCGGCUAACUCCGUGCCAGCCGCCGCGGUAAUACGGAGGAUGCGAUCUUUAUCGGGAUUUCUUUGGUUUAAAGGGUGCGAAGGGGGGCCGUUAAGUCAGGGGGAAAAUGUCGGGGCUAAACCCCGGCCUGCCGUUGAAACUGGCGGACUCGAGUGGGCGAGAGGUAUGCGGAAUGCGUGGUGUAGCGGUGAAAUGCAUAGAUAUCACGCAGAACACCGAUGGCGAAGGCAGCUUACCGGCGCACGACUGACGCUGAGGCACGAAAGCGUGGGUAGCAAACAGGAUUAGAUACCCGGGUAGUC
rnacentral:rRNA from 1 species